GGGUCCGGCAUAACCCCGGGAAACUGGGGAUAAUUCCGGAUAACGCACAUAUGCUGGAAUGCUUUAUGCGUAAAAUGGAUUCGUCUGCCCAAGGAUGGAUCUGCGGCCUAUCAGGUAGUAGUGGGUGUAAUGUACCUACUAGCCAACAACGGGUACGGGUUGUGAGAGCAAGAGCCCGGAGAUGGAUUCUGAGACAUGAAUCCAGGCCCUACGGGGCGCAGCAGGCGCGAAAACUUUACAAUGCGGGAAACCGUGAUGAGGGGACACCGAGUGCCAGCAUCAUAUGCUGGCUGUCCGGGUGUGUAAAAUACACCCGUUAGCAAGGGCCGGGCAAGACCGGUGCCAGCCGCCGCGGUAACACCGGCGGCCCGAGUGGUGAUCGUGAUUAUUGGGUCUAAAGGGUCCGUAGCCGGUUUGGUCAGUCCUCCGGGAAAUCUGACGGCUCAACCGUUAGGCUUUCGGGGGAUACUGCCAGGCUUGGAACCGGGAGAGGUAAGAGGUACUACAGGGGUAGGAGUGAAAUCUUGUAAUCCCUGUGAGACCACCUGUGGCGAAGGCGUCUUACCAGAACGGGUUCGACGGUGAGGGACGAAAGCUGGGGGCACGAACCGGAUUAGAUACCCGGGUAGUCCCAGCCGUAAACGAUGCUCGCUAGGUGUCAGGCAUGGCGCGACCGUGUCUGGUGCCGCAGGGAAGCCGUGAAGCGAGCCACCUGGGAAGUACGGCCGCAAGGCUGAA
rnacentral:rRNA from 1 species